rnacentral:rRNA from 1 species
GAUGAACGCUGGCGGCGUGCCUAAUACAUGCAAGUCGAGCGAAUGGAUUAAGAGCUUGCUCUUAUGAAGUUAGCGGCGGACGGGUGAGUAACACGUGGGUAACCUGCCCAUAAGACCGGGAUAACUCCGGGAAACCGGGGCUAAUACCGGAUAACAUUUUGAACCGCAUGGUUCGAAAUUGAAAGGCGGCUUCGGCUGUCACUUAUGGCUGGACCCGCGUCGCAUUAGCUAGUUGGUGAGGUAACGGUUCACCAAGGCAACGAUGCGUAGCCGACCUGAGAGGGUGAUCGGCCACGCUGGGACUGAGACACGGCCCAGACUCCUACGGGAGGCAGCAGUAGGGAAUCUUCCGCAAUGGACGAAAGUCUGACGGAGCAACGCCGCGUGAGUGAUGAAGGCUUUCGGGUCGUAAAACUCUGUUGUUAGGGAAGAACAAGUGCUAGUUGAAUAAGCUGGCACCUUGACGGUACCUAACCAGAAAGCCACGGCUAACUACGUGCCAGCAGCCGCGGUAA